UUUUGCAUGGUGCUAUGGGCACACCCAGAGU
rnacentral:piRNA from 1 species